GACACAGAGGACUGAUGUAUCCACAGAUAUACCACAUACUGACCAAGGUAACAGACACAGAGGACUGAUGUAUCCACAGAUAUACCACAUACUGACCAAGGUAACAAAGAGGACUAAUGUAUCCACAGAUAUACCACAUACUGACCAAGGUAACACAGAGGACUGAUGUAUCCACAGAUAUACCACAUACUGACCAAGGUAACAGACACAGAGGACUGAUGUAUCCACAGAUAUACCACAUACUGACCAAGGUAACAAAGAGGACUAAUGUAUCCACAGAUAUACCACAUACUGACCAAGGUAACACAGAGGACUGAUGUAUCCACAGAUAUACCACAUACUGACCAAGGUAACACAGAGGACUGAUGUAUCCACAGAUAUACCACAUACUGACCAAGGUAACAGACACAGAGGACUGAUGUAUCCACAGAUAUACCACAUACUGACCAAGGUAACACAGAGGACUGACGUAUCCACAGAUAUACCACAUACUGACCAAGUCAACAGAGGACUGAUGUAUCCACAGAUAUACCACAUACUGACCAAGGUAACAGACACAGAGGACUGAUGUAUCCACAGAUAUACCACAUACUGACCAAGGUAACAGACACAGAGGACUGAUGUAUCCACAGAUAUACCACAUACUGACCAAGGUAACACAGAGGACUAAUGUAUCCACAGAUAUACCACAUACUGACCAAGGUAACACAGAGGACUGACGUAUCCACAGAUAUACCACAUACUGACCAAGGUAACACAGGACUGAUGUAUCCACAGAUAUACCACAUACUGACCAAGGUAACAGACACAGAGGACUGAUGUAUCCACAGAUAUACCACAUACUGACCAAGGUAACAGAGGACUGAUGUAUCCACAGAUAUACCACAUACUGACCAAGGUAACACAGAGGACUGACGUAUCCACAGAUAUACCACAUACUGACCAAGGUAACACAGGACUGAUGUAUCCACAGAUAUACCACAUACUGACCAAGGUAACAGAGGACUGAUGUAUCCACAGAUAUACCACAUACUGACCAAGGUAACAGACACAGAGGACUGAUGUAUCCACAGAUAUACCACAUACUGACCAAGGUAACAGAGGACUGAUGUAUCCACAGAUAUACCACAUACUGACCAAGGUAACACAGAGGACUGACGUAUCCACAGAUAUACCACAUACUGACCAAGGUAACACAGGACUGAUGUAUCCACAGAUAUACCACAUACUGACCAAGGUAACAGACACAGAGGACUGAUGUAUCCACAGAUAUACCACAUACUGACCAAGGUAACACAGAGGACUGACGUAUCCACAGAUAUACCACAUACUGACCAAGUCAACAGAGGACUGAUGUAUCCACAGAUAUACCACAUACUGACCAAGGUAACACAGAGGACUGACGUAUCCACAGAUAUACCACAUACUGACCAAGGUAACACAGGACUGAUGUAUCCACAGAUAUACCACAUACUGACCAAGGUAACAGACACAGAGGACUGAUGUAUCCACAGAUAUACCACAUACUGACCAAGGUAACAGACACAGAGGACUGAUGUAUCCACAGAUAUACCACAUACUGACCAAGGUAACAGACACAGAGGACUGAUGUAUCCACAGAUAUACCACAUACUGACCAAGGUAACAGACACAGAGGACUGAUGUAUCCACAGAUAUACCACAUACUGACCAAGGUAACAGAGGACUGAUGUAUCCACAGAUAUACCACAUACUGACCAAGGUAACACAGAGGACUAAUGUAUCCACAGAUAUACCACAUACUGACCAAGGUAACGCAGAGGACUGAUGUAUCCACAGAUAUACCACAUACUGACCAAGGUAACACAGAGGACUAAUGUAUCCACAGAUAUACCACAUACUGACCAAGGUAACACAGAGGACUGAUGUAUCCACAGAUAUACCACAUACUGACCAAGGUAACAGACACAGAGGACUGAUGUAUCCACAGAUAUACCACAUACUGACCAAGGUAACACAGAGGACUGAUGUAUCCACAGAUAUACCACAUAUUGACCAAGGUAACAGACACAGAGAACUGAUGUAUCCACAGAUAUACCACGUACUGACCAAGGUAACAGACACAGACGACUGAUGUAUCCACAGAUAUACCACAUACUGACCAAGGUAACAGACACAGAGGACUGAUGUAUCCACAGAUAUACCACAUACUGACCAAGGUAACAGACACAGAGGACUGAUGUAUCCACAGAUAUACCACAUACUGACCAAGGUAACAGACAC